CAGCAGCCGCGGUAAUACGGAGGAUGCGAGCGUUAUCCGGAUUUAUUGGGUUUAAAGGGUGCGUAGGCGGAUUAAUAAGUCAGCGGUGAAAACCUUCAGCUUAACUGGAGACUUGCCAUUGAUACUGUUAGUCUUGAGUACGGUCAAGGUAGGCGGAAUGUGUAAUGUAGCGGUGAAAUGCUUAGAUAUUACACAGAACACCGAUUGCGAAGGCAGCUUACUGGGCCAUUACUGACGCUGAUGCACGAAAGCGUGGGGAGCGAACAGGAUUAGAUACCCUGGUAGUCCACGCCGUAAACGAUGAUCACUCGCUGUUAGCGAUACACAGUUAGCGGCUAAGCAAAAGCAUUAAGUGAUCCACCUGGGGAGUACGGCCGCAAGGCUGAAACUCAAAGGAAUUGACGG
rnacentral:rRNA from 1 species